UGGGGAAUUUUGGACAAUGGGCGAAAGCCUGAUCCAGCAAUGCCGUGUGUGUGAAGAAGGCCUUCGGGUUGUAAAGCACUUUUGUCCGGAAAGAAAUCCUUGGCUCUAAUACAGUCGGGGGAUGACGGUACCGGAAGAAUAAGCACCGGCUAACUACGUGCCAGCAGCCGCGGUAAUACGUAGGGUGCAAGCGUUAAUCGGAAUUACUGGGCGUAAAGCGUGCGCAGGCGGUUUGCUAAGACCGAUGUGAAAUCCCCGGGCUCAACCUGGGAACUGCAUUGGUGACUGGCAGGCUAGAGUAUGGCAGAGGGGGGUAGAAUUCCACGUGUAGCAGUGAAAUGCGUAGAGAUGUGGAGGAAUACCGAUGGCGAAGGCAGCCCCCUGGGCCAAUACUGACGCUCAUGCACGAAAGCGUGGGGAGCAAACAGGAUUAGAUACCCUGGUAGUCCACGCCCUAAAACGAUGUCAACUAGUUGUUGGGGAUUCAUUUCCUUAGUAACGUAGCUAACGCGUGAAGUUGACCGCCUGGGGAGUACGGUCGCAAGAUUAAAACUCAAAGGAAUUGACGGGGUCAUAGCUGUUUCCU
rnacentral:rRNA from 1 species